GACGAACGCUGGCGGCGUGCUUAACACAUGCAAGUCGAACGGAAAGGCCCUGCUUUUGUGGGGUGCUCGAGUGGCGAACGGGUGAGUAACACGUGAGUAACCUGCCCUUGACUUUGGGAUAACUUCAGGAAACUGGGGCUAAUACCGGAUAGGAGCUCCUGCUGCAUGGUGGGGGUUGGAAAGUUUCGGCGGUUGGGGAUGGACUCGCGGCUUAUCAGCUUGUUGGUGGGGUAGUGGCUUACCAAGGCUUUGACGGGUAGCCGGCCUGAGGGUGACCGGCCACAUUGGGACUGGGAUACGGCCCAGACUCCUACGGGAGGCAGCAGUGGGGAAUAUUGCACAAUGGGCGGAAGCCUGAUGCAGCAACGCCGCGUGCGGGAUGACGGCCUUCGGGUUGUAAACCGCUUUCGCCUGUGACGAAGCGUGAGUGACGGUAAUGGGUAAAGAGGCACCGGCUAACUACGUG
rnacentral:rRNA from 1 species